rnacentral:rRNA from 1 species
UAUAUAAAUGAAUAUUGCAAGAAAUUUUUUAAAAUUAUUAGGUAGAAUUUUAAUAUUAAGUAAUGACAAUAUAAAUAUACAUUAUAAUUAUAGCUAGAACCAGGAUUAGAUACCCUGUUACUUAUACUUAUAAUAUUUUGGAAUAGUAGUAAUUUAUGAAAUUUAACGGAUUUGGCGGCAAGAUAGCCAUUUAGAGGAACCUGCCCUAUAAACGAUGAUCCACGAUUUAAAACUCUACUUUUAUUUGCAUUUCAGUUUGUAUACCGCUGUUGUCAGUCAGUUUCUCUAGAAAACUUUCAUUCAUGAUAAAGUCAUUGACUUCAAGUAAAGGUGCAGCUCAUGUAAAAGACAGAGGUGGGUUACAUUUAAAAGAUUAAAACGGAUAAAGUUUAUGAAAAUAAUUUUUGAAGGUGGAUUUAAUUGUAAAGUUUAUAUAAACUUGAUGUGAGCUCUAUCUUGUGUACACACCGCCCGUCGCUCUCUUUUUUAAAC